rnacentral:lncRNA from 1 species
AAUUGGUGCAAAAGAAAUUAAUUUUACAAUUACUAUAUUAUUAAGUUAGUGAUUUGGAAGAUUUUUAAUUAUGGAUCAUAACUCUAUAAAGAUCUAACAAUACUAAAAGAGAGAUAUGCUCAUCAGCUAAGCCAUCCACGUAGGCAAAAAAAAUCAGCCUAUCAGACAUUACGUUUUUGCCACGUCACAAGGCGACCAAUUACAGUUGAGCUAGGCGAAACAUGUUGGGCUUAACCUAAUCGAAGUGGCCCACUCCCAAUCAAACCCAGCUCCUGGUCCAACUUCGAUGAAAGGGAUCGCCGACUC